rnacentral:rRNA from 1 species
UGGAAGUAAAAAGUCGUAACAAGGUUUCCGUAGGUGAACCUGCGGAAGGAUCAUUAUUGAAUUUUGAAAGGGGUUGUAGCUGGCCUUCUCGGAGGUACGUGCACGCCCUGCUCAUCCAUUCUACACCUGUGCACGCUCUGUAGGUCGGUUUGAAUGGUUCCUAACGGGACCGGUUUGGCCUUCCUAUGUUUUUACUACAAACAUCGUCAGUCAUAGAAUGUAAUCGCGUAUAACGCAUCUUAUACAACUUUCAGCAACGGAUCUCUUGGCUCUCGCAUCGAUGAAGAACGCAGCGAAAUGCGAUAAGUAAUGUGAAUUGCAGAAUUCAGUGAAUCAUCGAAUCUUUGAACGCACCUUGCGCUCCUUGGUAUUCCGAGGAGCAUGCCUGUUUGAGUGUCAUGGAAUUCUCAACCCUCUCAUUUUGUGAGAUGGGCUUGGAUUUGGAGGCUUUUGCUGGUUCCUUUGGAGUCAGCUCCUCUUAAAUGAAUUAGCUUGGACCUUUGUGGAUCAGCUUUUCAGUGUGAUAAUUGUCUACGCUGUGAGCUGUGAAGCUGUUACACUUUGGUGUGGGGUUCUGCUUCCAAUUGUCCUUGGACAAUCUUUUGACCUCUGACCUCAAAAUCAGGUA